UUUCUUUUUUAACUUUCGUAUAUCUUUUUAUAAACAAGAAAUAUAACGACGGGAACACCAUUAACAACAUUUUUUGAUAUCUUUUAUCUAAUCCAAUCAAAACCCUAGAAGACAACCUAAAAUUCAAUUAUCUAUGUUAAAAGGAAAGGAGGAUAAAGAUGAUUGAGGCGGUGGUGGUGAUGAAUACACAGGGGAAACCCAGGCUAACGAAAUUCUACGAUUAUGUGCCUAUGGAGAAACAACAAGAGAUUUUACGGAGCAUCUAUGGAGGUUCAAUCUCAAUCUUUGUCGAUUCUGAUUUCUCUUUGAAUAUUGAUUAAUUCAUCAAUUUCUAGGCUAAAUUACUCAAACCUGGUGGAUCUGUGGAUACCCAAACUAUGAGAGCUGGGAACCUGAGAAAUUUCAUUAAAGUUGAUUCAAUCUUUGGAUCGGUAUGUAGCACCCACCACUAUGAUAUCACUCUUUAGUUAGCUCAUUUUUACCUGUUCAAUGAAAUUAUAACAUUUAAAACAGUAUCAUGUCCCUCGCUCAUUAUUACGGUGGUUACAGUGAGGAGGGAGGAGAGUGAGGGAGGAAGAGACCGAUACUGGAUUUGUGUUACCUUGUAAUUGGAUAAAAUGUAAAAACCAUUCAUGAAUUGAUAACUUAUGACAUUUGUGGAUUAAUGGAUAAUCAUUUUGGUAUCUUCUUUUCCAA